GCUAAAGAAACCCAAAUUUCCCACCCACAUUUCUUCUCUCUUCAAUAUAACUCUUCAGCUUCUUUUCUGCGGCUGCUCCGGUCAUCACCCCACUUUGAAAGAGAAGACAUGGCAAAGGGAAGCUACGAGAAGGCCAUUGUUUCACUCCAGAACCUCCUCAG